rfam:Triticum urartu cultivar G1812 contig1042418, whole genome shotgun sequence.
AAUGUACUCCCUCCGUCCGGAAUUAUUUGUCGCAGAAAUGGAUAAAAAUGGAUGUAUCUAGAACUAAAAUACGUCUAAAUACAUUCAUUCCUCCGACAAGUAUUUCUGGACCGGGGGGGGGGGGG